UACAGAGGUCUCGAGCGUUAGGCGGAAUCACUGGGCUUAAAGCGUGUGUAGGCGGAUCGUUAAGUGCCUUGUGAAAUCCCACGGCUUAACCGUGGAACUGCUUGGCAUACUGGCGAUCUUGAGCAACCUAGGGGCGAGCGGAACAAAUGGUGGAGCGGUGAAAUGCGUAGAUAUCAUUUGGAACGCCAAUGGUGAAAGCAGCUCGCUGGGGGUUUGCUGACGCUGAGACACGAAAGCCAGGGGAGCAAACGGG
rnacentral:rRNA from 1 species